ACUGGAUAAAGAGGAAGAAGGGAGUGGCAGCAGUUAACAAGGCAGCUUGCAAAGAAAGAGCCAGCAAAUUUAAUUUCAGACAAACUCACGAUCCGUAGAAAUGUCUCACCUGAGUUUCCUGCUGCAGUCUUUGUCUAGGACAGAAAAGUUGUUUUUUUUUAAAAAAAAAAAAAAGAUUUGUAGAUAUCUGGACAGUUUGGAUCAAGAGGAAAAGAUGAAAAUGUUACCUGCUAGCAAAGUGACCAGACUGAGACGUCCCAUCCUGAACACAACACACAGUCAGCUGGAAAGAGACGAAGACUCAUGCAGACCAGCAACACCGUGUACUUUGCCCUUUCCUCGGGAAGAACGUCCUUGUGCUGAGAGAGAAAGAAGCAGCGUCUUAACAGGCGAGAGCUGCUGGGAAGGAGACGCAAAGACAAAGACAAAGAAAUACCUCAAGUCAAAUCCUUUGAGCAGCCCAGCAGCUAGCAUGACCUCUCUUACUCUGACACACAUGCCUUUAUUUUGUCAUGUCCUGGAACAACUGCAGACUUCCCAUUCGGUGGUUCUGACUUUACCAGAAUCAGAUUUGAGGAACAGAAUCCAGCACACAGUGAACCAAGGAGUUGAUGAGCAGCUGAAUCAACACAUUGCUCCACACCAACUCUGUUGAAUCAGCUAAAAGGCCAGGGAGAAAUCUCUCCCGCUGACUCUUUCCUGUGUGUGUGUGUGGGCGGGUGUGUGUGUGUGUGUGUGUCUUUUCCACUUCAGAUCUCAUGGUACGGUACUCUGAGAACGUUUUUGCCCCCAUACAUGUUGCUUUUGCUUUUGCUUUCUGUCUCGGCAAGCAAAUUUCAAUUCAAAGACAAGCCAAGAAAAUACAAGAUGCAGUUUUCAAAUGAUGAUUUCUUUUAUCUAAACCAACCUGGACCUGAGUGAAAAAGUAACCCAAUAACUUUUGCAGCAACAACUUCCAUCAAACAUUUGGGGUCAUUUGAAAGGAGACUAUUCAUUAAACCAUAUUUAAGAGUUUGUUUAAGGUUUGAUUUGCAUUUGAUGGUGUUCUUUGGAUUAUUAUUUUGCUAAAUAACCCAAGUAGGCUUAAACUUAAGAACACAAACUAAUAGUUGGUUGAUAUCCUUCAGGAAUUGAGAGUUAAAUUAAUGCUGCUAUCAUUUACAACAUAUUGUUUAAGUCCCCAAGAGGAAACACAGGCCCAGGCCUCCAGGCUACCACCACCUUGUAUAGCUGUCGGUAUGAUUUUCUUUUCCUAAAGAAAAAAAGUUUCCUAAAAGUUUCACUUUUGUCUUAGCAGUUUAUAGAAUAUUUCCUCAAAGGUCUUGUGGACUAUUAGAUGCUUUUAGGGAUAUGUGAGACAGGUCUUUGUGCUCGUGGAAUAAUUGUAGUAGGCUGGAAACUUCAAGAUUAUAUUAUUUGUGAAUAGUAACUCUCCCUGCAGAGUCUAAAAAUCUAAGAAUAAUUGAGGAAUGAUUGCAAUAACUUAUGUAUAUAAACACCACUAUCAUCGCUACAUCACCACUGUCACCACUAGGGGGCAUCACUCUUCUGUUCCCUUCACAUUUACAAUCUACUACAUUUCAGUGUGCCUUUUUUUAUGUAAAUAUGAAAUAUUAUUGCAGCAGAGUUCAGAUUUCACAUAUUAAACAUAAUUCACUUUGUUACUGAUGAGCUAUUAGGUUUUUUUUUUUUUUUUUAGCGCUGUCUUUAACAACAAGAAUUUGUGAUAUUUCAGGAUUCACGGUUUGCUGCAUGACCCAACAAUUUAAGGUUUGACAAAAAGCUGAAUGGCAUUAUUGUGACAGUAAACAGCUUUAUUUUUUUGUUAUAGAAGCCACCUAAACCACGGAAGAGCGAGUUGACAGGAUCAACAAUAACAAUGGGAAGAUAAUUUAAUCACUGGAUAAAAUCUAAAAUUAUUGAUUUAAAAUGAAAGUUGGGUGCAUGUUAAAUAAGUAACAAAACAGUAAAAUACGCAGGUCUGAGUUAGUUAUGGGUGACUGAGUUGGUGGAGAGGCCAGCUUAGUUUGAAGAAUUGUACAAGUAUCCUCUGUCUUGCUAAUGUGUCCUAAACAAAGACUCUGAGAUAAGGUUUGACAGUAAAUGGGCGUCGACCAUAAAUGCAACAGAUCACUUUAGUUUGUACAUUUCUACUCGCCUGCUGACUUGAUCAUAUAAAACUGAUGUGUUCGCUUCUGAACUUUUUUAAAAUAAACUCCAAACUCCUACUGAAAAGUGUGUGUGGGGG